UGAGCAAAUUGUCCAACCACAGUCGACUGUUCUCCUUACGGUCCAAGAAUAAUCGGCUGUGUUUGGUCAAUUCGCUCAC
rnacentral:pre_miRNA from 1 species